GACGAACGCUGGCGGCGUGCUUAACACAUGCAAGUCGAACGGUGAAGCGCCUUCCUUUUUGGUGGGUGUGGAUGAGUGGCGAACGGGUGAGUAACACGUGAGUAACCUGCCCCCUUCUUCUGGAUAACCGCAUGAAAGUGUGGCUAAUACGGGAUAUUCUGGGUCUGUCGCAUGAUGGGUCUGGGAAAGAUAUUGUUUCGGUGGGGGAUGGGCUCGCGGACUAUCAGCUUGUUGGUGGGGUGAUGGCCUACCAAGGCGGUGACGGGUAGCCGGCCUGAGAGGGUGGACGGUCACACUGGGACUGAGACACGGCCCAGACUCCUACGGGAGGCAGCAGUGGGGAAUAUGGCACAAUGGGCGCAAGCCUGAUGCAGCGACGCCGCGUGAGGGAUGGAGGCCUUCGGGUUGUGAACCUCUUUCGCCAGUGAAGCAGGCCUGCCUCGUUUGUGGGUGGGUUGACGGUAGCUGGAUAAGAAGCGCCGGCUAACUACGUG
rnacentral:rRNA from 1 species